rnacentral:rRNA from 1 species
GGUCCCGCCUGCCCUGUGACAUCAGUUUAACGGCCGCGGUAUACUAACCGUGCAAAGGUAGCGUAAUAACUUGCCUUUUAAAUGAAGGCCUGUAUGAAUGGCACCACGAGGGCCUAACUGUCUCCUUUCUCUAGUCAGUGAAAUUGACUUGUCCGUGAAGAGGCGGACAUUUCCCCAUUAGACGAGAAGACCCUGUGGAGCUUUAGACGAUAGAAAAGGCUAAGUUAAAAAUUCUCGUUAAAUUGUUAAACCUAUUACGCUCUUUCCUUAUGUUUUUGGUUGGGGCGACCGCGGGGUAGUAACUAACCCCCAGGAGGAACAGUUUUUACAACUUAAAAUUAGGGCUCCCUCCCUACUUAACAGAAAAUCUGCCCACUUGAUCCGGAGCAAUCUGAUCGACGGACCAAGUUACCCCAGGGAUAACAGCGCAAUCCUUCUCAAGAGCCCUUAUCGACGGGAGGGUUUACGACCUCGAUGUUGGAUCAGGACAUCCUAAUGGUGCAGCAGCUAUUAAGGGUUC